GAUGAACGCUGGCGGCGUGCCUAAUACAUGCAAGUAGAACGCUGAAGGAGGAGCUUGCUCUUCUGGAUGAGUUGCGAACGGGUGAGUAACGCGUAGGUAACCUGCCUGGUAGCGGGGGAUAACUAUUGGAAACGAUAGCUAAUACCGCAUGACAACAGUUAUUGCAUGAUAACUGUUUAAAAGGGGCAACUGCUCCACUACCAGAUGGACCUGCGUUGUAUUAGCUAGUUGGUGAGGUAACGGCUCACCAAGGCGACGAUACAUAGCCGACCUGAGAGGGUGAUCGGCCCCGCUGGGACUGAGACACGGCCCAGCCUCCUGCGGGAGGCAGCAGUAGGGCAUCUUCGGCCAUGGACGGAAGUCUGACCGAGCACCGCCGCGUGAGUGAAGAAGGUUGUCGGAUCGUAAAGCUCUGUUGUAAGAGAAGCACGAGUGUGAGAGUGGAAAGUUCACACUGUGACGGUAUCUUACCAGAAAGGGACGGCUAACUACGUG
rnacentral:rRNA from 1 species